rnacentral:tRNA from 1 species
GGGGUUGUGGCUCAGUGGUAGAGUACUCACCUAGCAUGUGUGAGGCACUGUGUUCAAUCCUCAGCAUCACAU